GAUAGCUCAGUCGGUAGAGCGUGAAAUUCUUAAUCUCAGAGUCGUGGGUUCGAACCCCACGUCGGGCAAACA